GUUUGUCCGACGCCGUUUGUCAGAAUGGUCGUUUGUCCGAAAAAUUUCGGACAAACGACCAUUCUGACAAAACGGUUUUCGGACAAAUGGC
rnacentral:pre_miRNA from 1 species